rnacentral:rRNA from 1 species
AUGUUGCUGCGGUUAAAGGCUCGCAGUUGAAUGUCAGUUAUAAUACGUGAUGAGAUGCCGGGACGUUGUUCGUGCGGUGACCUCGUGUCUCGUUCGUUCCGUCCCCUGAGCGCAUUUCUCGCAAUCUAACAAUAAUUAUCGUGAACACUACGAUUGUGCGUUUCUUAUGCUUGCAUUUGAUCUCGUACGGUCUUGGUAUCUCGAUAGUUGACACCUUGAGUAAAUCAGAGUGCUUAACGCAGUCGUUUAAAUACCGGUGGUUUUACGUAACUUGUUGCGUGUAAACUACCAGUGGCGGUGUUUUAUCCGUUUAGACAUUGUCUUUGCUUUGCAUGGUACGUCGAAAGACGCCGUGUAAGUUGGUUGCGCUUACGGUUUGACACAUGCUUAUGUGUGCGCGUGCACCAACGAGCACGGAAUGAUAUGAAAGGGAUGGAUCGAAGGCAUUGGUAUUGCGAGGCGAGAGGUGAAAUUCUAUGACCCUCGCAAGACUCCCCGAAGCGAAAGCGUCUGCCUAGGACGUCUUCAUUAAUCAUGAACGAAAGUUGAAGGAUCGAAGGCGAUCAGAUACCGCCCUAGUUUUAACCGUAAACUAUACCAACCAUCAAUCCGUCGGAGCGUUCCCUUACUCCCGUUGAUCGGCUUAUGCUGUGAUGCGUGGACAAGUGUAAGCUCGAUGGGCAGCUCCUCCACUACGGAAAACCAGAGUGUUUCGGUUCCGGGGGGAGUCUGGUUGCAAAGCUGAAACUUAAAGGAAUUGACGGAAAGGCACCACCAGGCGUGGAGCUUGCGGCUCAAUUUGACUCAACACGGGAAAUCUCACCAGACCCAAACAUCUUUAAUGACUGACAGACUGAAAGCUCUUUCUCGAUAAAGUGGAUGGUGGUGCAUGGCCGUUCUUAGUUGGUGGAGUGAUCUGUCUGGUUAAUUCCGAUAACGAACGAGACUCUCCCCUGCUAACGAACCUUGUGUUCUUGUAGACAGUGUGAUUCGAAUCAAGGAUUAAUACUCGCGAGAGUUUAUCCUGACGAUGUCCACUGAUCCUUGUUGCGUCAGAAGUGGUGCUCGAUGACGUUCGUGCGCGGGAUUUCGAGGUGAUUAAUUUCUCCAAGUUUCUCGAUGCUCGAAACUGUUUUACGGGUCCCUUUCGACUGCGGCUUGGAGUACGUUUCUUCUUAGAGGGAUUGUUGACUAAUAAGUCGAAAGAAACAGAGAGCAAUAACAGGUCUGUGAUGCCCUUAGAUGUUCUGGGCUGCACGCGUGUUACAAUGCCGGGAUCAACGGGUUAUUACACAUCUCGUGUCCUACUCCGAGAGGAGCGGGUAAACCUUUGAAAUCCCUGACGCGUGAGAGGCAUGUUCUAUCCGCAAUAUGGCUUGCUUGGGACUGGGGAUUGCAACUAUUCCCCACGAACGAGGAAUGCCUUGUAGUGGCGAGUCACAGAGCUCGCUGCGACUCUGUCCCUGCCCUUUGUACACACCGCCCGUCGCUACUACCGAUUGAGUGUACCAGUGAGAUGCUUGGACUGGCGAACCGAUGUCGCAAGACUCGGCGUACGACACAAAGAGACUCGAACUGGUGCACUAGAGAA